GACGAACGCUGGCGGCGUGCCUAACACAUGCAAGUCGAACGGAAGUAAGAGCUUCGGUUUUUGCUUUAGUGGCGAACGGGUGAGUAACGCGUGAGGAACCUGCCUUUCAGUGGGGGACAACAGUUGGAAACGACUGCUAAUACCGCAUAAUGUUUCCGGUCCGCAUGGACUGGAAACCAAAGCUUUAUGUGCUGAAAGAUGGCCUCGCGUCUGAUUAGAUAGUUGGUGGGGUAACGGCCUACCAAGUCGACGAUCAGUAGCCGACCUGAGAGGGUGACCGGCCACAUUGGGACUGAGACACGGCCCAA
rnacentral:rRNA from 1 species